rnacentral:tRNA from 1 species
GCCCGCAUGGUGGAAUGGAAGACAUGCCUGACUUAGGAUCAGGUGCGAAAGCGUGAGGGUUCAAAUCCCUCUGUGGGUA